AGGUGGAGUAUUUGAUCCCUUUAGCAAGGCAGUGAUUUUGAAAUUCGGGUUUAGACAAAAAGAUAUUUCAAGCUCCUGAAGAACAAGUUUGAAGGAUUCAGAGCAGAGAAUUGCACCCUGGCAUGAUGCCUAUGCCAGCUGGACUGUGUGAUUUUUGUUCUUUAGUAGAAGGAUAACAUGACAUAGCAGGAAUAAUACUGCCUUUUCUUUCUGGCAUGGAUCAAGAGAAAAGAAAAUACAAGAAAACAGACAGAAGCAAGGCAAGGUACUUCUAUGGAAGGGUGAGCCCUCACAGAUGGAGCAAUGGGGCGCGCACACCUGAACAAGGGAGGGGAAGGAGUUCUUAUCCCUGAUGCAUGUGACCCCUGCUGCUGUGUCCUUCCCCUAUUGGCUAAGGCUUCUGACAGCUUUGGAGAUUGUGACAUUGGAAUAAAGGAAAAACGUACAGGACUCAUGAAGCGCUGAAAUGUUCACAAAUAUCAAGCAAAAGUCAAUGAAAUUUAUUUUGAGCUAUUUACAUCAUUUAAUAAUUGAGCAAGGUAUACUCCUAUGAACAAAAUUUGGAGCAUGUUUGUCUCUCUCUGCCUGGCGUCUUCAGAAUUUGGAAACUAGUUAGUCAUGGAAAUUUAUUUUGAGCUAUUUACAGCAUUUAAUAAUUGAGCAAGGUAUACUCCUAUGAACAAAAUUUGGAGCAUGUUUGUCUCUCUCUGUCUGCCUGGCAUCUACAGAAUUUGGAAACUAGUUGUGCUGUACUGCAUGAGAAUGCCUGCAUUUAGUAUGCGAACUGGAAUUGGCAAAGGACGAUGGCUGCUCUCCCGCUAACUUUAAAUAAGUCAUGUCACAAAUUGCAUGUAAGACUUAUAAAAUAUUAACGUUGGGAGACACUGAAACAAAUCAGUAUUUCUAUUAACCUGCGAAAAGAUCUUCCAAAUAUAUAACCAAAGUAACUAAAACAAAUACUAAAAAGAGUUUACUUUUAAAACUAGGUUUAUGAAAUAUUUUCCCCAAGUUUGCAUGAUUAUUAGAAAAGUGGCUUAAAGAGUAAAGAAAAACUGGAAUCUUGUUGACCCCAAGUACUCCUCUAACCCUUUUGCUCUGCUGUUACAAUGGACCAGUAAAUCUUCAAACAUAACACCUCUUAAAUUAAAAACAGAAAUGGUGUAGAUUGCACACAUUACAACAUUUUUUUAGGCUUACUUCUUUUUUUCAAUAUUAAAGCUUAUUUUUCACACAUUACUUAAUGUUGCCUGUUAAAAAGUGGUGCUUAUAUUUGUGUAGCUAUCUGUUUGAUGGUGGUUUAGUUUAGGAAAUAAAUCACACAGUGACAAU
rnacentral:lncRNA from 1 species